rnacentral:rRNA from 1 species
ACGGGCUCAGUAACACGUGGCUAACCUGCCCUUAGGACGGAAACAUCCCCGGGAAACUGGGGCUAAUUUCCGAUAGGUGAAGACUCCUGGAAUGGAUUUUCGCCGAAAAGGCGCUUAGGGCAUGCUUCUAGGUGUUGCCCAAGGAUGGGGCCGCGGCCGAUCAGGUUGUUGGUGAGGUAAUGGCUCACCAAGCCUUUAACCGGUACGGGCCGUGGGAGCGGUAGCCCGGAGAUGGGCACUGAGACAAGGGCCCAGGCCCUACGGGGCGCAGCAGUCGCGAAAACUUCGCAAUAAGCGAAAGCUUGACGGGGCCAUCCCGAGUGCCAUCUGCUGAGGAUGGCUUUUACCCAGUAUAGAUAGCUGGGGGAAUAAGGAGAGGGCAAGUCUGGUGUCAGCCGCCGCGGUAAUACCAGCUCUCCGAGUUGUAGGGAUGUUUAUUGGGCCUAAAGCAUCCGUAGCCGGCUGGACAAGUCCUCUGUUAAAUCCAGCGACCAAUCGUUGGCCUGCGGGGGAUACUGUCCGGCUAGGGGGCGGGAGAGGCCGUCGGUAUUCCUGGGGUAGGGGUGAAAUCCUAUAAUCCCAGGAGGACCACCAGUGGCGAAGGCUGUCGGCUAGAACGCGCCCGACGGUGAGGGAUGAAAGCUGGGGGAGCGAACCGGAUUAGAUACCCCGGGUAGUCCCAGCUGUAAACGAUGCAGGCUAGGUGUUAGGGCGGCUACGUGCCGCUCUAGUGCCGCAGGGAAGCUGUUAAGCCUGCCGCCUGGGGAGUACGGCCGCAAGGCUGAAACUUAAAGGAAUUGGCCGGGG